rnacentral:lncRNA from 1 species
GGCGUCCCACUUGUUUGGCGUGCAAUAGGGUGUGGCAUCCCCUAACCCUAAUCCAAUGCCUCCCUAUAAAAGGGCUCCAAUAGUUGGAUGCCCAAGAAUUUAGAGAUCAAUUCUUCUCUAUGCCGAGCCUCCUCUCUCAUCCUCUUCCUUUUUCCUCCUGUUCUUCUUGAUCCCAUAGAGUAUCUGUAAGAUUUGAAGAAAAAGCCAGAUUAGCCAUC